rnacentral:rRNA from 1 species
UACGGGGGGGGCAAGCGUUGUUCGGAAUUACUGGGCGUAAAGGGCGCGUAGGCGGUCUGCUAAGUUGGAUGUGAAAACUCUGGGCUUAACCCAGAGCCUGCAUUCAAUACUGACAGGCUAGAGUUCUGGAGGGGAUAGCGGAAUUCCUGGUGUAGCGGUGAAAUGCGUAGAUAUCAGGAAGAACACCCGUGGCGAAGGCGGCUCUCUGGUACGUGACUGACGCUGAGACGCGAAAGCGUGGGGAGCAAACAGG